GUGGGGUUGUGGUUCAAAGGUAGAGCACUUGCCUAGCAUGCAUGAGGCACUGGGUUCGAUGCUCAGCACUACA
rnacentral:tRNA from 1 species